rnacentral:lncRNA from 1 species
AAGAUGCAGUGAAUUUGUACACAAACAUGCAGAUAUUUUUGCUUCAUUUUCUUUCUAACAAAGUCUGCAUACAAAGUACUAAGUACUAGUACUGACCCUCUCUUCAACUUCAACGAGAAAUGAACCAGACUAUACCUACAAGCACUACUACAUAGGUUCAGAGAACAAACACUAUGAACAAACACAUUCAUGCUAACUCAGGCCAUAGCUACUGCAGUUCCAGCUUCACGAGAGACGUCUCCGCAGGAUCACGGAAAAACUAGCGCUAGUUCUACCGACUAAAUGAAGUAAUAAACUCCGGCACCACCGCUGCUUCUGCCCAUCAUUUUGUGUCCAAUUCUACUGACUAACUGAACUCCAGCAUCACGAAAGAAACCAUGAACAAGCAAACAACUCCGGUGAGUGACGCGGGUGGGCCUAGGAUCGCAGCCCAGUUGAGCGAGCACAGCAUCAGGGACUUCAUCCAUCAACCAAUCGAUUCGAUCGGCGCUAGUUACUGCUAGGCCAAAUCAGCCGGGAACCCCUCCCCUAUCCCACCCGACGAAGCAGGAACCCGACUCUGCUGGAUCGAUUUCCUGCCGCCGACGAAGGGAACCGCCUGGCUGCAGGGGCGGGAGCAAACGGGAACGGGUGAAGAGCUCGUCCUGACUCGAUGACAUCCCUAUUGGCCGACUCGACCUAUGCCAUACGAGGGGAUAAGGUAACAGGAGAAAGGCAGGAGAGCGGCGACGUGCGGACGUACCAGUGCCCCGCGGAGGGCUGGACCACGCCGACGGACGCCGACGGGGAAGAUGACCGCCGCCGCGCGGAGUGGCGAAGGCGCGCAGCGGGAAUUGCAGGUUGCCGCGAAGCACAACCUCGAAGAUCUCUGGGCGCAGUGCGGUCGAGCCUAUCGGGACGGGGACGCUGCUCGCAGAUGUGCGAUCUCAAACGGACGGCAUGCAGGUCGUGUGG